UAAUGUUGCACAAACUACUACAUUUUCCUAGACUAUAUACUCAACUAUUUCAACCUAUGUACAAUUUGCAACAUCCUUGAUUAUAUAUCCAACCACAGGUUGACUAUCUCCACUCAUAUACACAAUUACACUUGAAUAUUUCUUUGAUAUUUUCUCUAUUGAGGAACAUGUAAGUGUCAUCCGAUUCUCUCUCUCUCAACGUUCUUCUUUUCCUCCUAUGUAACUUCACGCUUCUACUCUUCUUUAACCUCCCAACUCUUUUCAACUUACAAAUCUAGCAUGAACUAAAUGAACUUUGUCAAUAUACAUUCUUACUUUUACUUUGAGUUAUAAAUACAAACAUUACAAUAGCAAGAGAAAAACAUUAAUAGAUGAAGAGCAGAAUGGUUGAGGUGGAAUUUCUAACCCCUCCUAUGACGUGGAUUGAGCAACAUAUGAGAAAACUAGAUCUAUGGCUAUAUUGCAUUGUUAAUGAUUCAAGAUCUCACCAUGUUCUUUAGAAUCUAUGGCAUGUUAACAUGUGUUCGUAAUUGUUGCAAGUUAUCUUCUUUAUUGGCUAAUAUAUUUCAAGUUUUGAUAAGUUUAUGAGUAAGUAAAAUGUAUAAUUAUGUCUAAUAUAUAAUAGAUU
rnacentral:lncRNA from 1 species